UACGUAGGGAGCAAGCGUUGUCCGGAAUCAUUGGGCGUAAAGCGCGCGUAGGUGGUUUUUUAAGUCCGUUGUGAAAGCCCUGGGCUCAACCUGGGAAUGGCAGUGGAUACUGGAAAGCUAGAGUGCGGUAGAGGGUAGUGGAAUUCCCGGUGUAGCAGUGAAAUGCGUAGAGAUCGGAAAGAACACCAACGGCGAAAGCACUCUGCUGGGCCGACACUGACACUGAGAGACGAAAGCUAGGGGAGCGAAUGGG
rnacentral:rRNA from 1 species